rnacentral:misc_RNA from 1 species
ACGGCAAGAUCUACGAACGUGUUGCGGAUUGCGAACUCGGUUGUGAUGUCUUGAUACUUUUUGUAGCCAAACAUGUCAGCGAGCAUGUCGCCAACGAUCACCGCUGUAUCAGACUCGCUAAUGUCGCGCCGCCGCGCGUCUGCAAGAAUAGCUUGGUAUCGCUUUAUUCCGGCUGUGAGCCGCUCGCUUACUUUCUUUGAUACGCCCAUAGCGUUGGCCCCCGAAGCACUUGGUCAGCAUGCCACAUCCGAUACG